ACAUAUUUUUAUUGAUUCCAUUUAUAAAAGUUCACAAAGCCUGUGUGUGUGUGUGUGUAUAAUGUAAUACAAGGCAAUAAAUGUUACAUCAUGUUGGCCCUUAACCCAGCAUGUUUUUCUUUGAAAAUCCAUAGAAAUUGAUAUUCUACUUCUGAUUUAUUACUGAGCAUAUUUAUGGCGUGGAGAAUAUUUUUAUUUGCCAGAUUACAAAUCAUUUUAGGAAAAUCUUUGAAGGGAUACCUAAAACCAUUUUGCGCCAAUAUUAAUCAUUUUAACCUGUCUUUUAUUUUUACAAUUAUAUAAAAAAUAGGAAGCAUGUUAAAGCUGCUUCAAGACACGUAUUCUGUUAUGAGUUUAGUAAUUAAGAAGCUUAUGUGUAGAACUUAGAGAAUCUCAAGGAGUUGUCUGUGAUAUCAUUAGCUGUCGUCCAGCCAAAUAAUACAAUGUUUCCCCUUGCCAACUAUAAUAUAUAAUCUACUAUUUAAAAAUCUAUAAAGUGAAAUAUAAUUAGUUAACAUUUCAAUAUUUAAAUUCAAGAUGACUAGUAAAGGAUUUCUCAUAUACUGCACAGUCCUAGACAUGCAGCUAAAUGUAUCUAUUAAUAUUCAAUGAAUACCAGGCUCAUUUCAUGCUCAUUUCUAUUUCAGGAAAGACUCAAAAAAGGACUGUGUUCCAUUGAUUAUGAGACUAAUACUAACGUGACAAAAGUUAUUUCACCAUUCUCUUUUUGCAAAAACAACAAGAAAACUAUAAUAACACAAACAAAACUCUAAGACCACUAUUUGGCUCUCUCUGACUCCCUUCCCUGAAGAGCAUUUACAACUGACUUUUGAGGAAAAACAAACACAUUCAUAAAAAAAAAAAUUGGCUUCUUGCAAGUCCUUUUCUCCUUUGUCUUCCAACUCUUUGACUCAAGCUAUAAAAAUAAAGUAAACAAAUAUUUUCAAUUUACCUAUUUUAAAACUUCUGUUCUUGUUUUGCCAUUUCAGUUUUUCACUCUGCUCUUAUUCAUUCCUAUAGUUUGGGACAUACUAUGCUCAUACCUUAUCAUUAAUUCUAAUAGCAUACGAAAUUAAGUCUUAUGAUCAGUGCUUAUUACUGGCAUGGAGCAUCUGGUGCUAAUCUCAAAUUGAUUCCAGAUUACAUUGCAUCCCUGUUGUCUUCCCGACAGGGCAAUACCCUCUGCUGUCUCAGGGUCAAACAUGCUACUCCUGCCUGCUUGUAUGGCCAGCUGGGCUCAAGAAGGAAGGAACCUCAUUGUUGACAGUUACCAGAUGAAUGUGCCCCUUCUGUGCAACUAAGAAAUGGAAUAGACGUUGGUAAUUUUGAGUCCAAGUGUAAUUCCCCUGGAAAACCAUUUUACCUUCAUUGCAAUAACUGGAGGUCUCAUUUCCAUUUUAAUCAUCAUAUGGAUUCCCAGAAUUAUAUAACCAGAAACUGAAAAACAGAAAAAUUUUAGAAAGGUAUUUCUGAUUUGGGACGUGAGAAACGGGAUGCUUUAAAUGAAAGGUGUUGGCUGUGAUUCUGCUGCUUCAUUAUGACACAGGCGAGUCAGCUGUGCAUAUAAAGCCUGUCAGUUCAGUCUUAAACCCAAAAACCUAGGCAACAAAGAAUCUUCACAAAGAUCCUGCUAUUAUAAUGUCAAUGGCAGAGGAAACAAUAAGAGAUUGGGGCCUGUCACUGAGGUUAUAAAAUUUUUUCACCUAUAUGGAUAAUACAUUCUGAUACUUGUCCACUGAAUUUACAAGGUGAUGUGAUGUUUCAGCGAUUAAAUUGGAGGUGGUGGGAAAGAAAAAAAAAGGAAUAAGGAUUGAGUAAUAUAGCUAAAGAGAAAAAAAAAUCAUAUAAAAACAAAUAAUAGGUCAUAUGUGACCAUGGUUAAAGAGCAUCUGAAGACCAAACAUGUUUUUAUGAGAGAUUUUAAAGAUUAGUAGUGAGGUAGGAGGUAGGGCUUGACUCAUGAGGUGAGACUUGACUCUGGAGGUGGAGUUCAGACACCAGACCAAACUGAGGACUAAUUAAAACAGGCAUGGGGUGGAAGCACCUUUCUAAAAGACAUACCCACCAAUGUGCCAUGUCAGUUUGCCAUUGCCAUGGCAACACCCAGAAAUUACCACCCCUUUUCAUAGCAACAACUCAACGACCUAGAAGUUACCACCCUUUUCCUAGAAAUUUCUGCAUAAUGUGCUGCUUAAUUUGCAUCUAAUUAAAGUUCAGGGGUUGAGUUCAGGGGUUCAAGACCAGCCUGACCAACACAGUGAAACCCCGGGUUUACUAAAAUACAAAAAAUUAGGCAGGCAUGGCAGCAUGUGCCUGUAAUCCCAGCUUCUCAGGAGGCUGAGACAGGAGAAUCACUUGAACUCAGGAGGCGGAGGUUGCAGUGAGUCGAGAUCGCGCCACUGCACUCCAGCCUGAACGACAGAGUGAGACUCCAUCUCAAAAAAAAAAAAAAAAAAAGGAGAAUACAUUCAUUUACAUUAAGGAAUAUCUCUCUGAAAACAAGGCUUGUUAUUUAUUACAAUAGUCUACCUUUCUUGGAGGUUUUAAAUAUAGUAGAAUAUUUUUGUGUGGCUCUGGAAUAUUUUAAAUUAAAAGAAUAUUAACUUUGAGUAAAAUUGAUUUUUGCCUUUAUAGUGGGGAGCAAAAUAUACCAACGGUUUUCAUUGGUAGCAAUUGAUCCUCCCCAGAAUCUGAACAAGCAACCCAUUUAGGUAGGGAAUGGCUAGGCCCCAAGAAGGAUAAAAAGAGAGACAAGAGAGACCAUUGAGUUUACACCAAGAUUUCUCAUCCUUGGUCCUCUUAGCAAAUAAUAAUGUGUCUUGGGGAGCAAAGUUGUCCACAGUUGAGAACCACAUUCUCUAAUGCCAUUAUUAUCUCAGCUCUGUACUUUGUUAAUUUUUUUCUCAGACCUAUGUCAAGAGACUAGUGCACUAACAGGUGUAGGGAAAGAGUAGAAAGAUCCCACUCCCCAGUGCUUAACCAGGAUGACUGUCUUCAGGUCAGCUGGUCUUCAUGAGGUUAAAGUAGGGAGAGGACAUGAAAUAAAUACUCAAAGCCAGUUGGCAUCCACAAUUUUGAGCUAAUAAAUCCAUCUAUAUGGAUUUGAUGAAUUGUACUGGGAAUCUUAGCUAAAUAUCUUGUUUUAAAUCUGAAUUAAUAUUUAAUAUAAUAAAUCCUUUCCAUAGAACUCAAUGAUACAGCAGUGGAGUAGUUAUUUUUUAAGGCAUAAACUAAAGGACAGCAGAGGAAACACAACAGACUCACUGCCAUUUUGGCUUAGAUUUUUAAAAACUGAUCUUAUUGUAAUUUAAAUAUAGUACUCACAAUAAACAUAAUAUGUAUUUAUAAUAUUGGUAUUAGAGGGCAUGAUUCAUAACACUUUAUAAGUUAACACAUAAGACAUUUCCUUUAUGUAAUGCCUGGUAGACUUUUAUUAUACUUAAUUUUGAGAAAGUAUGUAAGGCAACCUAGAGUAUACACAAAUAGUACAAUAAUACAAUGAUUCCCACAUUUGUUUCUUCCGUGGAGUGUCCCUAAACAUUUUAUUUCUUUCUAUUUUAAAGGGUUCCUUUUCUGUUUCUCUGGUGGAAUGAAUGCUAGCUUAUCUUUAUACCAGGAAGGUAGAUCUCCACCUCACUUCCUCCAGCAACGUGCUCUUCUCUCUCCUUCCUAUCCCAAGAUCUUACACUAACGUGACUAAUAAGAAUCUUUUUCAUAAAAUUAACCAAAGAACAAAAUUUCUUUUAUUCUUGGUGUGUUGCCUUAAAAACCAUCUAUAGGAAAUUCUCUUUAGUUAAUUAGAGGAAGUUACAAAUGAAUGAAAAAUGUGUUUGUUGACUCUGCUUCCACCACCACAUACACAAAACUACCUUUUUACAUCAAGUGCAGGUGUACACACGUCUUCCUGAGCUGUUUCAGUUUUCCUUAUCUGAGAUGGUUACACACUGUAUGUCCAAAAAGUCAAUAAAUAAAAUCUGGCAAUCACUGGAAA